GGAGAGAUGGCCGAGUGGCUUAAGGCAGCGGUUUACUAAACCGCCGUUCCUUUAUUGGAACCGUGAGUUCGAAUCUCACUCUCUCCGCAA
rnacentral:tRNA from 1 species